AACGAACGCUGGCGGCAUGCCUAACACAUGCAAGUCGAACGAGACCUUCGGGUCUAGUGGCGCACGGGUGCGUAACGCGUGGGAACCUGCCCUUAGGUUCGGAAUAACUCCCCGAAAGGGGUGCUAAUACCGGAUAAUGUCUUCGGACCAAAGAUUUAUCGCCUUUGGAUGGGCCCGCGUUGGAUUAGCUAGUUGGUAGGGUAAAAGCCUACCAAGGCGACGAUCCAUAGCUGGUCUGAGAGGAUGAUCAGCCACACUGGGACUGAGACACGGCCCAGACUCCUACGGGAGGCAGCAGUGGGGAAUAUUGGACACUGGGCGAAAGCCUGAUCCAGCAAUGCGGCGUGAGUGAUGAAGGCCUUAGGGUUGUAAAGCUCUUUUACCCGGGAUGAUAAUGACAGUACCGGGAGAAUAAGCUCCGGCUAACUCCGUG
rnacentral:rRNA from 1 species